rnacentral:rRNA from 1 species
GAAUGGGGAAACCCAGUGUGACUCGUCACACUAUCAUUAACUGAAUCCAUAGGUUAAUGAGGCGAACCGGGGGAACUGAAACAUCUAAGUACCCCGAGGAAAAGAAAUCAACCGAGAUUCCCCCAGUAGCGGCGAGCGAACGGGGAGGAGCCCAGAGCCUGAAUCAGCAUGUGUGUUAGUGGAAGCGUCUGGAAAGGCGCGCGAUACAGGGUGACAGCCCCGUACACAAAAGCGCAUGUGCUGUGAGCUCGAUGAGUAGGGCGGGACACGUGGUAUCCUGUCUGAAUAUGGGGGGACCAUCCUCCAAGGCUAAAUACUCCUGACUGACCGAUAGUGAACCAGUACCGUGAGGGAAAGGCGAAAAGAACCCCGGCGAGGGGAGUGAAAAAGAACCUGAAACCGUGUACGUACAAGCAGUGGGAGCACCCUUUGGGUGUGACUGCGUACCUUUUGUAUAAUGGGUCAGCGACUUAUAUUCUGUAGCAAGGUUAACCGAAUAGGGGAGCCGGAGGGAAACCGAGUCUUAAUUGGGCGUUAAGUUGCAGGGUAUAGACCCGAAACCCGGUGAUCUAGCCAUGGGCAGGUUGAAGGUUGGGUAACACUAACUGGAGGACCGAACCGACUAAUGUUGAAAAAUUAGCGGAUGACCUGUGGCUGGGGGUGAAAGGCCAAUCAAACCGGGAGAUAGCUGGUUCUCCCCGAAAGCUAUUUAGGUAGCGCCUCGUGAAUUCAUCUCCGGGGGUAGAGCACUGUUUCGGCUAGGGGGCCAUCCCGGCUUACCAACCCGAUGCAAACUGCGAAUACCGGAGAAUGUUAUCACGGGAGACACACGGCGGGUGCUAACGUCCGUCGUGAAGAGGGAAACAACCCAGACCGCCAGCUAAGGUCCCAAAGUCAUGGUUAAGUGGGAAACGAUGUGGGAAGGCCCAGACAGCCAGGAUGUUGGCUUAGAAGCAGCCAUCAUUUAAAGAAAGCGUAAUAGCUCACUGGUCGAGUCGGCCUGCGCGGAAGAUGUAACGGGGCUAAACCAUGCACCGAAGCUGCGGCAGCGACGCUUAUGCGUUGUUGGGUAGGGGAGCGUUCUGUAAGCCUGCGAAGGUGGCCUGUGAGGGUUGCUGGAGGUAUCAGAAGUGCGAAUGCUGACAUAAGUAACGAUAAAGCGGGUGAAAAGCCCGCUCGCCGGAAGACCAAGGGUUCCUGUCCAACGUUAAUCGGGGCAGGGUGAGUCGACCCCUAAGGCGAGGCCGAAAGGCGUAGUCGAUGGGAAACGGGUUAAUAUUCCCGUACUUGGUGUUACUGCGAAGGGGGGACGGAGAAGGCUAUGUUGGCCGGGCGACGGUUGUCCCGGUUUAAGCGUGUAGGCUGGUUUUCCAGGCAAAUCCGGAAAAUCAAGGCUGAGGCGUGAUGACGAGGCACUACGGUGCUGAAGCAACAAAUGCCCUGCUUCCAGGAAAAGCCUCUAAGCAUCAGGUAACAUCAAAUCGUACCCCAAACCGACACAGGUGGUCAGGUAGAGAAUACCAAGGCGCUUGAGAGAACUCGGGUGAAGGAACUAGGCAAAAUGGUGCCGUAACUUCGGGAGAAGGCACGCUGACACGUAGGUGAAGUGAUUUACUCACGGAGCUGAAGUCAGUCGAAGAUACCAGCUGGCUGCAACUGUUUAUUAAAAACACAGCACUGUGCAAACACGAAAGUGGACGUAUACGGUGUGACGCCUGCCCGGUGCCGGAAGGUUAAUUGAUGGGGUCAGCGCAAGCGAAGCUCCUGAUCGAAGCCCCGGUAAACGGCGGCCGUAACUAUAACGGUCCUAAGGUAGCGAAAUUCCUUGUCGGGUAAGUUCCGACCUGCACGAAUGGCGUAAUGAUGGCCAGGCUGUCUCCACCCGAGACUCAGUGAAAUUGAACUCGCUGUGAAGAUGCAGUGUACCCGCGGCAAGACGGAAAGACCCCGUGAACCUUUACUAUAGCUUGACACUGAACAUUGAGCCUUGAUGUGUAGGAUAGGUGGGAGGCUUUGAAGUGUGGACGCCAGUCUGCAUGGAGCCGACCUUGAAAUACCACCCUUUAAUGUUUGAUGUUCUAACGUGGACCCGUUACCCGGGUUGCGGACAGUGUCUGGUGGGUAGUUUGACUGGGGCGGUCUCCUCCUAAAGAGUAACGGAGGAGCACGAAGGUUGGCUAAUCCUGGUCGGACAUCAGGAGGUUAGUGCAAUGGCAUAAGCCAGCUUGACUGCGAGCGUGACGGCGCGAGCAGGUGCGAAAGCAGGUCAUAGUGAUCCGGUGGUUCUGAAUGGAAGGGCCAUCGCUCAACGGAUAAAAGGUACUCCGGGGAUAACAGGCUGAUACCGCCCAAGAGUUCAUAUCGACGGCGGUGUUUGGCACCUCGAUGUCGGCUCAUCACAUCCUGGGGCUGAAGUAGGUCCCAAGGGUAUGGCUGUUCGCCAUUUAAAGUGGUACGCGAGCUGGGUUUAGAACGUCGUGAGACAGUUCGGUCCCUAUCUGCCGUGGGCGCUGGAGAACUGAGGGGGGCUGCUCCUAGUACGAGAGGACCGGAGUGGACGCAUCACUGGUGUUCGGGUUGUCAUGCCAAUGGCACUGCCCGGUAGCUAAAUGCGGAAGAGAUAAGUGCUGAAAGCAUCUAAGCACGAAACUUGCCCCGAG